UGGCAGUGGCAUUGAGCCUAGUUUCCGUACCCAACGUUUAACUGUCUGUCUCAUUUCAAAAAAUUAUAAAAAAAAUUUAAAAAAAAUUAGUCACACAUCAAGUACUAUUCAUGUUUUAUCAUUUAAUAACAAUAAAAAUAUUAAUCAUAACAAACUUCAGAUAAGACGGACGGUCAAACGUUGGACACGAAAACAUACAACUGCACUUAAA
rfam:Oryza nivara chromosome 9, whole genome shotgun sequence.